rnacentral:rRNA from 1 species
AUGGGCGAGCUGAUGGAGCACGCCGCGUGCAGGAUGAAUGCCUUCGGGUUGUAAACUGCUUUUAUAUGUGACGAUUAUGACGGUAGCAUAUGAAUAAGGAUCGGCUAACUCCGUGCCAGCAGCCGCGGUAA